rnacentral:lncRNA from 1 species
CUCUCGGAUAACGGGGCAGGCCGGUGGCCCACGCAGCCCACCAGCUUGCAGGGAGGGCAGACCCUGGGGGAUGUGAGGGAGGCUUUCUCACGCAGACCCUAAAACGGGCUGGGCCGUGGGAGUGCUGGCCAACGUGCCAGGCAGGGAGGACCUGAAUUCCUGAAGGUGGUGGUGGCAGCUGUUAGGGUCCACAGGUUAAUGAUCUCCAACGUCACACAGAAGAGAAUGUGCUGAGGUGUGACCUCCCUCACCCUGCCUUGGCUGCGUGGGGCACCGUCUCUCCAGGACUCACCCUGCCCCCCAAUAGACUGAAGUCUGAAGAUCAGCCCAGUCUUCCUUCAGGCCUCAAUGCCCUCUCACUUCCCCAGCCCGAGGGACUCCUGGCUCUUCUCGGAGGCUGCUCUGUGGGGUCCCUCCCUUGGGCCUUUGCUAAUGCUGUGCCCUCUGCCUGUGCCAGAGGUGGGCCUGGGCCCGUUUCUCAGGGAGCUCCUGAACACCAAGAAAUUGAAUUGCUUUGUAAAUAAACAAAAAGUGCCA